GUAAAGGUUAAGGUUAGGGUUCAUGUUAGGUUAAGGGUAGGGGUAAAGGUUAAGGUUAGGGUUCAUGUUAGGGUAAGGGUAGCGGUAAAGGUUGAGGUUAGGGUUCAUGUUAGGGUAAGGGUAUCGAUAAAGGUUGAGGUUAGGGUUAGGUAAUGGUUAGGGUUCAUGUUAGGGUAAGGGUAGGGGUAAAGGUUAGGGUUAGGGUUAGGUAACGGUUAGGGUUCAUGUUAGGGUAAGGGUAGGGGUAAAGGUUAAGGUUAGGGUUCAUGUUAGGUUAAGGGUAGGGGUAAAGGUUAAUGUUAGGGUUCAUGUUAGGGUAAGGGUAGCGGUAAAGGUUGAGGUUAG